AUUUUGAUUUGCCGCAUGCUUAGUGACCCGUAUGGGGCUGUGCGCUGCUCGGUGCGGCAGUUUUGUGUUAGUCCUAUUACGAGGGGGAACGCUCGUGAGGUCAGCUGAGGACAGAAAGCUGGAGACAUUAUUAUUAAAGGGAAGGAAUGUGUUUUAUAACCUACUGCCUCAAUGUCUGCAUUUUAUGCACUGAUGUGGAUGUAACAAAGACGUAUCUUAUGUGUGGAACAGAUGCCUGGGGACUAAUUAAAAACAUCGUAUGUAGCAAAA